rnacentral:lncRNA from 1 species
GCCCCAUCAGAGAGGGGCAGUGGGCGCUCUCAAGACGAAAGGGAUCCCCGGUGAAUCAGGAAAGUUAUUGGGUUGGAAAGUGAUUAAAGGGCUGAGCGUGGGAGGGGAUUUCCAGCAAGAGAGACAAGCCUAGGAGCAUGCCCGGGCUGGUCAGCUACACGGUUGCUGCCCACUUGAGGUCUGUUGCAAUAGUGCCCAUUAAAUUCAAGUCAUUAGAGACUUGAAACUUGGGCCAGUUUUCAAAAAACACAGAGUUCGGAGGAAACCCCAAAGCCCUGAACAAAACGGGUUGUACAUCAAAGGGGAAUAAGAGGAUCAGAAGUCUGGGGGAAAGACCGGCUGGGGAGACUCUGCUGUGCCCACCCCAGAGAAGCUCACAGGAUGCCCUGAAGACAGCAACCUCCAGGAAUGCAUUUAAAAUCAACCCUGCUCUCAAGCCAGCCCUGAGUUUUCAGUUUCAUUGAGACAUCUCUGUGUAAGCUGGAUAUAGUGGCACGUGCUUGCAAUUUUAACACUAGGGCAGCUGAGACAGGAGGCUCUCAAAAGCUAGGCUAGCUUGAACUACAUGGGGAGACCAUGUCUCCAAAAACUAAGAAAGGAAAACAAGUGACAAGCAUCUUCAGGUUAACCCACCGACAUAUUGUCACAAAUCAUUGUGGGCCUUGCCAGAUUUAACCUACACAGCAGAGGUGGCCUUCAGUUCUUGUGGGGUCAUGUUUCACACCAUGCUAUGCUUCCAAUACUGAAAUAUUCCCUGAAUUUUAGUCAGCUCUCUUAUUAUUUGUUUUAUUUAAAAAUAUUUAUUUAAUUGUGUGUGUGUGUGUGUGUGUGUGUGUGUGU